CAGUAGCCGCGGUAAUACGUAGGUGGCAAGCGUUGUCCGGAAUUAUUGGGCGUAAAGGGCCCGCAGGCGGUUUCUUAAGUCUGAUGUGAAAGCCCCCGGCUCAACCGGGGAGGGUCAUUGGAAACUGGGAAACUUGAGUGCAGAAGAAGAGAGUGGAAUUCCACGUGUAGCGGUGGAAUGCGUAGAGAUGUGGAGGAACACCAGUGGCGAAGGCGACUCUCUGGUCUGUAACUGACGCUGAGGAGCGAAAGCGUGGGGAGCGAACAGGAUUAGAGACCCCCGUAGUCCCUGUCUCUUAUAC
rnacentral:rRNA from 1 species